UACGGAGGAUGCGAGCGUUAUCCGGAUUUAUUGGGUUUAAAGGGUGCGUAGGCGGACUGUCAAGUCAGCGGUAAAAUUGAGAGGCUCAACCUCUUCCCGCCGUUGGAACUGGUGGUCUUGAGUGGAUGAGAAGUACGCGGAAUGCGUGGUGUAGCGGUGAAAUGCAUAGAUAUCACGCAGAACUCCGAUUGCGAAGGCAGCGUACCGGCAUCCAACUGACGCUGAGGCACGAAAGCGAGGGGAUCAAACAGG
rnacentral:rRNA from 1 species